rnacentral:rRNA from 1 species
AUUGAACGCUGGCGGCAGGCCUAACACAUGCAAGUCGAGCGGAUGAAGGGAGCUUGCUCCUGGAUUCAGCGGCUGACGGGUGAGUAAUGCCUAGGAAUCUGCCUGGUAGUGGGGGAUAACGUCCGGAAACGGGCGCUAAUACCGCAUACGUCCUGAGGGCGACAGUGGGGGAUCUUCGGACCUCUCGCUAUCAGAUGAGCAUAGGUCGGAUUAGCUAGUUGGUGGGGUAAAGGCCUACCAAGGCGACGAUCCGUAACUGUUCUGAGAGGAUGAUCAGGCACACUGGAACUGAGAAACGGUCCAGACUCCUACGGGAGGCAGCAGUGGGAAAUAUUGGACGAUGGGCGAAAGCCUGAUCCAGCCAAGCCGGGUGUGGGAAGAAGGUCUUCGGAUUGUAAAGCACUUUAAGUUGGGAGGAAGGGAAGUAAGUUAAUACCUUGCUGUUUUGACGUUACCAACAGAAUAAGCACAGGCUAACUUCGUG